CAACGGCAGAGGCAGAUGAGCCUCCUUCACAAGGCCCCAGGAUUCAUCCAUCCACCCAUUCCUGCCUUUAUUCCAAGAAGAAGCCAAGGAAAGGAAGAACCAAAAGCUAUUCCAAGAAGAAGCCAAGAGAAAGGGGAAUCAACAAAGGCUCACAAACUCUCACACACAACUAAAUUAAAGAAGAAGCUCACAAGAAUUCUUCUUCUGAUCUGCAAGCCUCGUAUCGUAUAUUCGUAUCUUGCAGCAUGCCGCAUCCAAGCCAUCGACGAGGAGGAGGAGAUGAGCUGGCUGGUUCGAUCGAUCAGCCGCGAUCGUAGUAGCCGCGCGCCGCGGAGGAGAGGAAGGCCGGCACGUCGGGGGCGCCGGCGCCGGCGAGGCGGACGUAGUAGGGCGCGAGGGGCGA
rnacentral:lncRNA from 1 species